CGGUUGAUCCUGCCGGACCCUACUGCUAUCGGGGUGGGACUAAAACAUGCGAGUCGAACGACUUCUAGCCAUGAUGAAGUCGUGGCAUACGGCUCAGUAACACGUGGCUAACCUACCCUUGAGACGGAGACAACCCCGGGAAACUGGGGCUAAUCCCCGAUAGAUGAGAACCCCUGGAACGGGUUCUCGUCCAAAAGGCAUCAAGGCCACGCUUCUUGGUGUCGCUCAAGGAUGGGGCCGCGACCGAUCAGGCUGUUGGUGAGGCAACGGCUCACCAAACCUUUAACCGGUACGGGCCGUGGGAGCGGGAGCCCGGAGAUGGGAACUGAGACAAGGUCCCAGGCCCUACGGGGCGCAGCAGUUGCGAAAACUCGUCAAUGCACGAAAGUGUGAACGGGCUACCCCGAGUGCCGUCCGCUGAGGAUGGCUUUUCCCUGGUGUAAGGAGCCGGGGGAAUAAGGAGAGGGCAAGCCUGGUGUCAGCCGCCGCGGUAAUACCAGCUCUCCGAGUGGUGGGGAUGAUUAUUGGGCUUAAAGCGUCCGUAGCCUGCCCUUCAAGUCUCUCGUUAAAUCCAGCGAUUCAAUCGUUGGACUGCGGGAGAUACUGUUGGGCUAGGAGGCGGGAGAAGCCGACGGUAUUCCCGGGGUAGGGGUAAAAUCCUAUAAUCCCGGGAGGACCACCAGUGGCGUAGGCGGUCGGCUAGCACGCGCUCGACGGUGAGGGACGAAAGCUGGGGGAGCGAACCGGAUUAGAUACCCGGGUAGUCCCAGCUGUAAACGAUGCAGGCUAGGUGUUGGAGCGGCUACGAGCCGCUUCAGUGCCGCAGUGAAAACUUGAAGCGAGUCACCUGGGAAGUACGGUCGCAAGGCUGAAACUUAAAGGAAUUGGCGGGGGAGCACUACAACGGGUGGAGCCUGCGGUUCAAUUGGAUUCAACGCCGGAAAGCUUACCGGACUCGACAGCACUAUGAAGGUCAGGCUAAAGACCUUACCGAAUUCGCUGAGAGGAGGUGCAUGGCCGUCGUCAGUUCGUAUCGUGAGACAUCCUGUUAAGUCAGGCAACGAGCAAGACCCGUGCCCACAGUUGCCAGCAUUUUCGCAAGAAAGAUGGGCACACUGUGGGGACCGCCGCUGCUAAAGCGGAGGAAGGAGCGGGCUACGGUAGGUCAGUAUGCCCCGAAUCACCCGGGCUACACGCGGGCUACAAUGGUUGGGACAAUGGGCACCAACACCGAGAGGGGGAGGUAAUCCCGAAACCCGGCCUCAGUUGGGAUCGAGGGCUGUAACCCGCCCUCGUGAACAUGGAAUCCCUAGUAAUCGCGCGUCAUCAGCGCGCGGUGAAUACGUCCCUGCUCCUUGCACACACCGCCCGUCGUUCCACUCGAGUGGGUUUAGGGUGAGGCGUGGUCUUUUUGGCUGCGUCGAAUCUUAGGUUCGCGAGAGGGGAAAAGUCGUAACAAGGUAGCC
rnacentral:rRNA from 1 species